AUGGCGAGUAAUAUGCAGACUCCUGGUCCGCCUCAGCCCCCCCGGCCUCCUAUGAUGGGUUCUACCGCGCCACAAAAUAUGGGACAACCAAUGCCCAUGCAGUGGCCACCAGGUCCGCCACAACAGCCUCCUCAGUUCAUGCAACCAGCGCCACAACAGUAUCGGCCUGUUGGUCAGGCCAUGCCAGGAGUUAACAUGGGCAUGCCAGGGCAGAUGCAACAUUUUCAGCAACCUGGGCCACAUAUUCCUCACUCUGGUCAUGUUCCGCCUGCAUCGCAAGCUGUUCCUAUGCCGUACCAGGCAGCUAGACCUAUGUCAUCAGCUCCUAUGCAGCCACAGCAGCAAGCUGUAUUCCCUGGUGGACUUAUGCCCACCAUGGGCACCCCUAUGCCGCCUCCUUCUUAUACCUAUCAACCAACAUCGGUUCCUCCUGGAUCUCAACCCUGGGGCACAGCCCCGGGUCAGGGCGCACCUCUUGUGUCGCCGAUGGUGCAGCCUGGGCAUCAGUCUCUCUCAGCUUCAGUGCCCCCAGUGAGCUCAACUGAACCUAGCUCUGCGGAUUGGCAAGAGCACAGUUCAGGGGAUGGAAAGAAGUACUAUUACAAUAAGAGGACAAAGCAAUCAAGUUGGGAGAAACCUGCUGAGUUGAUGACCCCUUUGGAGCGGGCUGACGCUUCAACUGAAUGGAAAGAAUUUACUACAGCAGAAGGACGGAAGUACUAUUACAACAAAGUGACAAAGCAAUCCAAAUGGUCUAUUCCUGAUGAGCUAAGGAUUGCACGUGAAUUAGCAGAGAAGACAUCAAAUCAGCAGCCUGUCCGGGAGAUUGAAUCCACUGCUGUUGCCCCUGUUGGAUCCACUUCUGUUGCCCCUGUUGGAUCCACUUCUGUUGCCCCUGUUGGAUCCACUUCUGUUUCUGUGGAGCCUUCCUUACCUGCCAAACAGUCUUCAUCUUUAGUAGGAACAAUUGCUCCAAGCUCCCAUGAUGCGAUAGCAAACUUGCCUCCUCCUGGUGCUGGCCCGUCGUACAAUGGGGAUAUAUCUUCUUCUAGUUCCAUGCAAAACGGUGGAACAAGUGCUGCUGUGGUUGCCCCUGUUACAACGAGCACGGGAAUUCCAUCAGUUGCAAGUGAUGCAGGGACAAACAGAAGCACUUAUGGAAGUUCAUCUCUACCUAGUACUACUGACACAAAAGUUGGAGCAUCUGCUGAAGAUUUGGAGGAGGCCAAAAAGACAAUGCCAACUGCAGGGAAGAUCAAUGUUACUCCGCUGGAGGAUAAAACAAGUGAAGAAGAACCUGUUGUUUAUGCUACUAAGUUGGAAGCAAAGAAUGCAUUCAAGUCCCUGCUUGAAUCAGCAAAUGUUCAGUCUGAUUGGUCAUGGGAUCAGGCCAUGAGAGUUAUUAUAAGUGACAAAAGAUAUGGUGCUCUGAAAACUCUUGGAGAGAGAAAGCAAGCUUUCAAUGAGUACUUAAACCAGCGGAAAAAGAUUGAAGUUGAGGAGAGGCGUGUCAAGCAAAGGAAAGCACGUGAUGAUUUUCUCACAAUGCUGGAAGAAUGUAAGGACCUUACAUCAUCACUGAGAUGGAGCAAAGCAAUUACUAUGUUUGGGCAUGAUGAAAGGUUCAAUGCUGUUGAACGCCCCAAGGAGCGUGAAGAUUUAUUUGAGAACUAUCUCGUGGAGCUGCAAAAGAAGGAAAAAGCAAAGGCUGCUGAAGAGCACAAAAGACGCAUAGCAGAAUAUAGAGAAUUUCUUGAGUCAUGUGAUUUCAUCAAGGCAAACUCCCAGUGGCGAAAAGUUCAAGAUCGGCUAGAGGAUGAUGAACGCUAUGCCCGACUUGAGAAGAUUGACCGCUUGGAUGUUUUUCAAGACUAUAUAAGGCAUCUUGAGAAAGAAGAAGAAGAACAGAAGAGAAUUCGGAAGGAGCAAUUAAGGAGACAGGAACGGAAAAACCGCGAUGAGUUUCGGAAGAUGAUGGAAGAACAUGUUGCUGAUGGCACACUUAAUGCAAAAACUUACUGGCGUGACUACUGUUCACAGAUAAAAGAUUCACGUGCUUACCUGGCAGUUGCUUCAAACUUGUCUGGCUCGAUGCCAAAAGAACUCUUUGAUGAUGUCAUGGAGGAGCUUGAUAAGCAGUAUCAAGAUGAUAGGGCUUUAAUUAAAGAUGAAGUGAAAUCUGGAAAGAUUCCUAUGUUGGCCUCAUGGACAUUAGAGGACUUCCAAGCUGCUGUUACUGAGGAUGAAAAAUAUAAAGGAGUGUCGAACAUAAAUAUCAAGCUUAUUUAUGAGGACCAAAUUGAAAGGCUCAAGGAAAAGGAUCUAAAGGAGGCCAAGAAGCGUCAGCGACUGGGUGAUAAUUUUCUGGAUCUACUGUAUUCAAUCAAGGAAAUUACUGCUGCUUCAACAUGGGAUGAUUCUAAAUCACUAUUUGAUGAUACCCAGGAAUACAGGGAUCUGGGUGGCGAGACAUAUGCUAAAGAGCUUUUUGAAGAGUAUAUUGCCCGCCUCAAAGAAAGGCUUAAAGAGAAAGAGCGCAUGAGGGAAGAAGAGAAGGCGAAGAAAGAGAAAGACCGUGAAGAGAGAGAAAAGAAGAAAGAGAAGGAAAAGGAAAAGAAGGAGAAAGAUCGCAAAGACAAAGAAAGAGACCGAGAGAAGGAAAGAGAAAGGGAAAAAGGAAAAGACCGGUCAAGGAGAGAUGAAAUGGAUAUUGAUGAUGAUGUGGAAAUUCAUGCCUCAAAAGAUAAGAAACGAGAGAAGGAUAAAGAAAAGAAGCAUAAAAGGCGCCACCAUGACACCACAGAUUCUGAAAGGGAUGAGAAGGAUGACUCGAGGAAAUCUCGAAGGCAUAGCAGUGAUCGCAAGAAAUCUAGGAAGCACACCCAUGCUUCAGACUCAGAUAGUGAAAACCGGCAUAGAAGACACAAAAAGGAUCGAGAUAGUUCCCGCAAAAAUGGUGGGCAUGAGGAGCUUGAAGACGGUGAACUUGGAGAAGAUGGGGAGAUCCGUUAG
rnacentral:rRNA from 1 species